rnacentral:rRNA from 1 species
AUGGACCGCUGGCGGCAUGCCUUACACAUGCAAGUCGAACGGCAGCACGGGUGCUUGUACCUGGUGGCGAGUGGCGAACGGGUGAGUAAUACAUCGGAACAUGUCCUGUAGUGGGGGAUAGCCCGGCGAAAGCCGGAUUACUACCGCAUACGAUCCACGGAUGAAAGCGGGGGACCUUCGGGCCUCGCGCUAUAGGGUUGGCCGAUGGCUGAUUAGCUAGUUGGUGGGGUAAAGGCCUACCAAGGCGACGAUCAGUAGCUGGUCUGAGAGGACGACCAGCCACACUGGGACUGAGACACGGCCCAGACUCCUACGGGAGGCAGCAGUGGGGAAUUUUGGACAAUGGGCGAAAGCCUGAUCCAGCAAUGCCGCGUGUGUGAAGAAGGCCUUCGGGUUGUAAAGCACUUUUGUCCGGAAAGAAAUCCUUGACUCUAAUACAGUCGGGGGAUGACGGUACCGGAAGAAUAAGCACCGGCUAACUACGUG